AGAGUGGGAGGAGAUAGAAGAGCCAGGAAAGGAAUGAAGUUGAGCCUGGGUAGAAGGGGGACAGUGUGGGGAAAACCAAAUGGAGGGAAUGGGAAGCCUCAGGAAAAGUCAUGUCAAUACAGGAAAAAGAAGCCCAAAUAUAUAAUUGAUGUCUCACCCUGACAUAUAGCACUGAACAGUUUUCUCAAUGAGCUCAUCUCUCCAAAUAUAUCAACUCUCAACAGCCUGCAUUUCUACUAUUUUAUUUGUCACAGUUGCUGGAAUUCGUUAAGUAAAAUCAUUCAAGGGAUAAACUAUUUACCAGACUACUGUGGAUAAUUCACCACCAGACUUCUCGGUAUCCAUCUACAGGCAAGUACUAGUUGUUGUCUCCAUUUCCUUUACUAUGCCAUUGCAGAUGCUCCAGCAUGUGCAUCCACCUUGUAUGCCCUGAAAAGAUAUGGAUGAGGUUUUGGGGUUUGGAGGCAGGAGGUAGAAUAUUGUUAAGGAAUGGGAUGAUUUAUUUCUGAAAUCUUAUUUCCACAUACUCUUAGGGAAAUCAGAUCA